AGCGUACACGGUGGAUGCCCUGGCAGUCAGAGGCGAUGAAGGACGUGCUAAUCUGCGAUAAGCGUCGGUAAGGUGAUAUGAACCGUUAUAACCGGCGAUUUCCGAAUGGGGAAACCCAGUGUGAUUCGUCACACUAUCAUUAACUGAAUCCAUAGGUUAAUGAGGCGAACCGGGGGAACUGAAACAUCUAAGUACCCCGAGGAAAAGAAAUCAACCGAGAUUCCCCCAGUAGCGGCGAGCGAACGGGGAGCAGCCCAGAGCCUGAAUCAGUGUGUGUGUUAGUGGAAGCGUCUGGAAAGGCGCGCGAUACAGGGUGACAGCCCCGUACACAAAAAUGCACAUAUUGUGAGCUCGAUGAGUAGGGCGGGACACGUGGUAUCCUGUCUGAAUAUGGGGGGCCCAUCCUCCAAGGCUAAAUACUCCUGACUGACCGAUAGUGAACCAGUACCGUGAGGGAAAGGCGAAAAGAACCCCGGCGAGGGGAGUGAAAAAGAACCUGAAACCGUGUACGUACAAGCAGUGGGAGCACGCUUAGGCGUGUGACUGCGUACCUUUUGUAUAAUGGGUCAGCGACUUAUAUUCUGUAGCAAGGUUAACCGAAUAGGGGAGCCGAAGGGAAACCGAGUCUUAACUGGGCGUUAAGUUGCAGGGUAUAGACCCGAAACCCGGUGAUCUAGCCAUGGGCAGGUUGAAGGUUGGGUAACACUAACUGGAGGACCGAACCGACUAAUGUUGAAAAAUUAGCGGAUGACUUGUGGCUGGGGGUGAAAGGCCAAUCAAACCGGGAGAUAGCUGGUUCUCCCCGAAAGCUAUUUAGGUAGCGCCUCGUGAAUUCAUCUCCGGGGGUAGAGCACUGUUUCGGCAAGGGGGUCAUCCCGACUUACCAACCCGAUGCAAACUGCGAAUACCGGAGAAUGUUAUCACGGGAGACACACGGCGGGUGCUAACGUCCGUCGUGAAGAGGGAAACAACCCAGACCGCCAGCUAAGGUCCCAAAGUCAUGGUUAAGUGGGAAACGAUGUGGGAAGGCCCAGACAGCCAGGAUGUUGGCUUAGAAGCAGCCAUCAUUUAAAGAAAGCGUAAUAGCUCACUGGUCGAGUCGGCCUGCGCGGAAGAUGUAACGGGGCUAAACCAUGCACCGAAGCUGCGGCAGCGACGCUUAUGCGUUGUUGGGUAGGGGAGCGUUCUGUAAGCCUGCGAAGGUGUGCUGUGAGGCAUGCUGGAGGUAUCAGAAGUGCGAAUGCUGACAUAAGUAACGAUAAAGCGGGUGAAAAGCCCGCUCGCCGGAAGACCAAGGGUUCCUGUCCAACGUUAAUCGGGGCAGGGUGAGUCGACCCCUAAGGCGAGGCCGAAAGGCGUAGUCGAUGGGAAACAGGUUAAUAUUCCUGUACUUGGUGUUACUGCGAAGGGGGGACGGAGAAGGCUAUGUUGGCCGGGCGACGGUUGUCCCGGUUUAAGCGUGUAGGCUGGUUUUCCAGGCAAAUCCGGAAAAUCAAGGCUGAGGCGUGAUGACGAGGCACUACGGUGCUGAAGCAACAAAUGCCCUGCUUCCAGGAAAAGCCUCUAAGCAUCAGGUAACAUCAAAUCGUACCCCAAACCGACACAGGUGGUCAGGUAGAGAAUACCAAGGCGCUUGAGAGAACUCGGGUGAAGGAACUAGGCAAAAUGGUGCCGUAACUUCGGGAGAAGGCACGCUGAUAUGUAGGUGAAGUCCCUUGCGGAUGGAGCUGAAAUCAGUCGAAGAUACCAGCUGGCUGCAACUGUUUAUUAAAAACACAGCACUGUGCAAACACGAAAGUGGACGUAUACGGUGUGACGCCUGCCCGGUGCCGGAAGGUUAAUUGAUGGGGUCAGCGCAAGCGAAGCUCUUGAUCGAAGCCCCGGUAAACGGCGGCCGUAACUAUAACGGUCCUAAGGUAGCGAAAUUCCUUGUCGGGUAAGUUCCGACCUGCACGAAUGGCGUAAUGAUGGCCAGGCUGUCUCCACCCGAGACUCAGUGAAAUUGAACUCGCUGUGAAGAUGCAGUGUACCCGCGGCAAGACGGAAAGACCCCGUGAACCUUUACUAUAGCUUGACACUGAACAUUGAGCCUUGAUGUGUAGGAUAGGUGGGAGGCUUUGAAGUGUGGACGCCAGUCUGCAUGGAGCCGGCCUUGAAAUACCACCCUUUAAUGUUUGAUGUUCUAACGUGGACCCGUGAUCCGGGUUGCGGACAGUGUCUGGUGGGUAGUUUGACUGGGGCGGUCUCCUCCUAAAGAGUAACGGAGGAGCACGAAGGUUGGCUAAUCCUGGUCGGACAUCAGGAGGUUAGUGCAAUGGCAUAAGCCAGCUUGACUGCGAGCGUGACGGCGCGAGCAGGUGCGAAAGCAGGUCAUAGUGAUCCGGUGGUUCUGAAUGGAAGGGCCAUCGCUCAACGGAUAAAAGGUACUCCGGGGAUAACAGGCUGAUACCGCCCAAGAGUUCAUAUCGACGGCGGUGUUUGGCACCUCGAUGUCGGCUCAUCACAUCCUGGGGCUGAAGUAGGUCCCAAGGGUAUGGCUGUUCGCCAUUUAAAGUGGUACGCGAGCUGGGUUUAGAACGUCGUGAGACAGUUCGGUCCCUAUCUGCCGUGGGCGCUGGAGAACUGAGGGGGGCUGCUCCUAGUACGAGAGGACCGGAGUGGACGCAUCACUGGUGUUCGGGUUGUCAUGCCAAUGGCACUGCCCGGUAGCUAAAUGCGGAAGAGAUAAGUGCUGAAAGCAUCUAAGCACGAAACUUGCCCCGAGAUGAGUUCU
rnacentral:rRNA from 1 species